CUGGCUCCAGCCGAGUUCCCAGAAGGCAGAUGCUAGAAUCUGCAGCCCGGGCGGAAAGCACGAGCGUGGCCGGGAGGUUUGCUCUGCUCCGUGCACCUGUGGUAUAGAGUGCGCUCACAGAAGGUUUCUGCUGGGAUUAAUCCCUGAGUAACUUCACCAUGGUGCACGGAAGAAUGGAGAAAGAGAAAUCCACUGGAGGGAACAUUUCAAGCAUUGCCAAGCCAUGGAGGGUCAGAAGAGGGAGGCUGGUCUAAGCAAGACACUGUCACUUGAGGAGCUGAUGUAAAUCCUGGGCCUGGGUGCCUUGAUCUUUGAAGGUGAUGGGACUGCUGCUGAGCCUCCUGUCAAGAGGAAAGCUGUGACUCAUUCAUCUCUUUGAUGUUUCUCUGUGCAUCUCUUCAUGGCCCCCGAAAUGUAGGAAUUUGCCGUUGUCUUGCUUUGACAAGAGGGGUGGAUGAGUGUUGUCUCCCGUCUCCUCCACUGUGGAGUUGACUCAUGAAAAUGGCCGUAGUUUCUAUCUUCACUCUGGUUCUUCCGCUCCAGUUCAAAUCCCUAAAGAAUUAUUUCUCCUGAGUAGAGUUGCCUUGUAAGCCUUUGAGAGGAAGGCAUGGGACCAAACUCUGCCAAAAAACGGUCCAAGUUGGCGUGGGGCCAGCCAGUUGGCUGCUGAGCGGAGUCCUCACCCAGCCUCUCCAGGCCCCCCUCUGGUUCCCUUUUACAGCUGUCUGGCCUCAGGUAAUCAUGGGCACUCUGCGGGUCCCUGGCUCUUUUCAUUCCCGUGUUUCAGAUCACUUUACACGCAUUAAUUAAGCCUUAAAACACUCAGAAAAGGAAAGCCAAAGGCAGCGGGAAUGUUUGCAACAUGCGCCUCCAUGCUCUGGCUGAAGAACAGGAUAGCCCUGCCCUCGUCCAGCCCCGCCCUCGCCAAGGUCCACCCUCACCCAGGGAGAAAGUGGGGGCUUCUGCAUAGUUGAAACCCCUUCUACCUGCCUCAGAAAACCCCAUAUUCAUUACUGACUCAGGAUACUCAUCCACCCCACUGAGGUUACCUGCUCUAGGUGAUCCGCAUGACGUUUGGAAGCAGGACUCGGGGCAGAUCUGGCUCAAUGUCUUCAUAACCGGAAUGAAUGUCCUCAGUUGGAAUCCUGUACAAGAGUGCAGUAAGACCUUGGGCUAAGAAAGGCCUUAGGCCAAAUAAGGUGGGCUGUACUGAGCAAAGUCUCAGGUUGACCUCUCUCCGCUGUAUGCACAUAAAUACGCAUGCGCAGAGAAAGAAGGGAUCGAGGUGCUGAGGAAGAAACCUUGAGAGACCAGGAAAGACCCUAGUCCCGGUCUGGCUCGCGAAGAGCUAGCUGUCUUGCAAAUAUUGCUUGGCAUCUUAGGACUGACUAUAGCAUCGCUAACACUGUCAGGAUAACAUCCAGUGCCUCCCCGACCCUUGAUUUCUGAGAAGGAGAAAUCAGAAUAUAACAUACUAAGCAUUUGGCCCUGCAUUUGGCAUAGAAAAAUGCUAGAUAUUCUGGCCUUCCAGAGCCAUCUUGUGUGUAAUCCCAUUCAGUCUGAAUUAAUGUAGUUUUGAUACCAAAGUGUUAGACCGUGUAGCUCGAACUGGUGUUGGUGUCUCUCAUUGAGAUGAGAUGGGCGGAAGCUAAAAGAACUCUGCAGUUUAGUUAGUGGUUUGUGCCAACUGCUAAUCCUUAGUUUAAAUUAACUUAUGGCUGUUUGAGCUGCUAACAUUACCAGGAAGUUGGGUGUGUGAAAUGCAGGGGCUGUGUUUUGGUAGAUGAUAAUAAUCUUAUUGUGAGCGCCUCAAAAUUGGUAAUGAUACCCACAUUUUUAGUGUCCUAUUUUAAAAUACCUCUAUGGCUUCCAAGAAGAUAAUAAAUGCCAAGGCUUUUGUUACCAAAAUAAGAGACAAUUUAUGUUAGCUCCAGCUGUUCUCACCACCAAGGAAAAUGCAUUGAGUUCCCUGUGUCUGCAAAGUGCCAUAUUGUACAUUAAAAUAGCAAACAUUAUUAUCCGGGAGAAAGCCAUUGCUUGUGCGGCAGUCCUUUUAAGGUAGCAGUUUGUAUGUAAGAUAUUUGAUAACUUCACUAUUUCGGCCCCCAGUGCGUUCCUUGUUUCACAGAAAAUGCAUGGUUUGUCUAUCCAUGCCACUCCAAGCCUUCCCCUUUAUCGAGAAGCAACUAGAAAGAGCCGUCCUGUCCAAUAGGGCUAUAGAUUACACUGCUUGCUGCUCCUGAGUACCAGGCUUGCAACAUUCACAGUGAAAUGCCAGUGAUGCCUUUUCUCUAACUUUACGGAGACCCCAGGAUUUGCAUACAUCAUUUCCUCAUUUCUUUUAGAGCAUGCAAAUUAUGAUGUCAUGUGGGGGUCAGAAAGAGCUCUGCAUCUGGUGGGUGGUAAGGCUAUAAAGAACCCCAUCAUCCGUUACACAGAGAGUGUGAAUAUAACAGUUACAGUGGGCUUAGUGGAAGAAGCAGAGCUCGAAGAAAGCAAGCCCUAUGAAAAGUUGUUCAACUUGCCAGUCAAUCUGAAUCCCUGGAAACACCUCGUGGCAUAUCAGGAGGGCAUUCAUGAUCAGAGGAGGUGAGACGGGCUACAACAUGUGAUAGAAGUUACUUCGAUGGUUGGAUUCUAACACUGCUCUAAAAAUGAUCACCAAGCCGCCAUAUCAGAAAGCAUCACAAAGAAAGCGCUCGCAUCUCACUGAUGGCUUAGCACUGGGCUCAUGCGCUGGGGAAGGUGUGCCCACCUACCUUCCCUUCUCUCAAGUCCACUCAUCCAGAAGUCACCCUUGUCCCUUCCCUCCCCAGUGACAAUAAAUAAAGGGCUCUGCUCCUUCCCUUCCUAGUAUGCCUUUGCAGUCACAGCUGUAUGGCUCGUUCUUCCUGUUUCCAGUAAGCUGCUUGUGCUGAAGAAACCAAGGGAGACUUUCCUCCUCCCCUUCCCAGGGAUUAGCAUUUUCCGUAUGACCUGAAUAAUAAAACUAAAUUGUAACGGCCUGUCA